rnacentral:rRNA from 1 species
GACGAACGCUGGCGGCGUGCUUAACACAUGCCAGUCGAACGGAAAGACCCUGCUUUUGUGGGGUGCUCGAGUGGCGAACGGGUGAGUAACACGUGAGUAACCUGCCCUUGACUUUGGGAUAACUUCAGGAAACUGGGGCUAAUACCGGAUAGGAGCUCCUGCUGCAUGGUGGGGGUUGGAAAGUUUCGGCGGUUGGGGAUGGACUCGCGGCUUAUCAGCUUGUUGGUGGGGUAGUGGCUUACCAAGGCUUUGACGGGUAGCCGGCCUGAGAGGGUGACCGGCCACAUUGGGACUGAGGUACGGCCCAGACUCCUACGGGAGGCAGCAGUGGGGAAUAUUGCACAAUGGGCGGAAGCCUGAUGCAGCAACGCCGCGUGCGGGAUGACGGCCUUCGGGUUGUAAACCGCUUUCGCCUGUGACGAAGCGUGAGUGACGGUAAUGGGUAAAGAAGCACCGGCUAACUACGUG